rnacentral:rRNA from 1 species
CCCUUAGAUGUUCUGGGCCGCACGCGCGCUACACUGAUGCAUUCAACGAGCCUAUCCUUGACCGACAGGUCCGGGUAAUCUUUGAAUCUGCAUCGUGAUAGGGAUAGACUAUUGCAAUUAUUGGUCUUCAACGAGGAAUUCCUAGUAGACGUAGUUCAUCAGACUGCAUCGAUUACGUCCCUGCCCUUUGUACACACCGCCCGUCGCUCCUACCGAUUGAAUGCUCAGGUGAGCCAUUCGGACUUUCAUCAUGCUGGUUUCCAGUUUUGAUGAAGGAAAGUCUUGCGAACCUUAUCAUUUAGAGGAAGGAGAAGUCGUAACA